GGCGUGGGAAAGAGCCGCGAGGAGCUGACCGCGCCGUCGCCGGAGCCGCGCCUGCCGGGGCCCAGGGAGGGCGGGCGGGAGGAGGCAGGCAGGGAGGGCGCUGCGUCCCGCUCGGCGUCCGUGGCUCCGGCCCGGCUGCGCCCCGCGCGGUCUUCUCCGCGAUGAAGCGCCCUUGCGAGGAGACGACCUCUGAGAGCGACAUGGACGAGACCAUCGACGUGGGGAGCGAGAACAAUUACUCGGGGCAAAGUACUAGCUCUGUGAUUAGGUCGAAUUCGCCAACAACAACAUCUCAGAUUAUGGCAAGAAAGAAAAGGAGAGGGAUAAUAGAGAAAAGGCGUCGAGAUCGGAUAAAUAACAGUUUAUCUGAGUUGAGACGACUGGUGCCAACCGCUUUUGAAAAACAAGGAUCUGCAAAGUUAGAAAAAGCUGAAAUACUUCAAAUGACAGUAGAUCACUUAAAGAUGCUGCAGGCAACUGGGGGUAAAGGCUACUUUGACGCACACGCCCUUGCCAUGGACUUCAUGAGCAUCGGCUUCCGGGAGUGCCUAACGGAAGUGGCGAGGUACCUGAGCUCCGUGGAAGGCCUGGACUCCUCUGACCCACUGCGCAUGCGCCUGGUCUCGCACCUCAGCUCGUGCGCCUCGCAGCGGGAGGCGGCGGCCAUGACCUCCUCUCUGGCCCACCACCAUCACCCGCUGCACCCGCACCACUGGGCGGCGGCCUUCCACCACCUCCCGGCAGCCCUACUCCAGCCCAACGGACUCCACGCCUCGGAGUCCACGCCCUGUCGCCUGUCCACCACUUCGGAAGUGCCUCCUGCCCACGGCUCCGCCCUCCUCACCGCCACGUUCGCCCACGCGGAUUCCGCCCUGCGGAUGCCCGCGACGGGCAGCGUUGCCCCCUGCGUGCCGCCUCUCUCCACGUCUCUGCUGUCCCUCUCCGCCACCGUCCACGCGGCCGCGGCCGCAGCCACCGCAGCUGCGCACAGCUUCCCUCUGUCCUUCGCCGGGGCGUUCCCCAUGCUCCCCCCAAACGCAGCUGCCGCCGUGGCAGCUGCCACAGCCAUCAGCCCGCCCUUGUCGGUAUCAGCCACGUCCAGCCCUCAGCAGACGGGCAGUGGGACAAACAGUAAACCUUAUCGACCCUGGGGCACAGAAGUAGGAGCUUUUUAAGUUUUCACGGAACUCCUCGCAGUAGCAACUGAAUGUCCUUCAUUUCCGAGUCAGCUUAAAACCUCUGCAACCCUGGAAGUAGCCGUAGAGAUGUCUGCAGACCCACAGAGAACAGUCAAGCUGUUUGAGACACAAACCUCACAAGUGGAAAUUCUCUCAAACUCUGAGAAAUUCUCGGCGCUCUCAGGCUAGCUCCGCGACGGCACCCAGGGGGACCUGCUGGAGCCUCCAAAUCGAAUCCUGUUCUGACUGCCACGCUGCAGAAGGCGUCCUGGGAUUGGAUCCAAACUACGUGACGUGUAAAUAUCUAUACCUGGACAAUGUUAAAAGGACUGCCCAGAACCGUGUAUUUGCUUUAUUAUUUUCUCAGUCAUUUAGCUGCUCCUUCUAAAUCUAACCUCUUUCGGUAUAUGUCUUUCUGUCUUUCCUUCUCACGCAGUUGUUAAAAUCCCACGAAACUUUUUACGAAAUCGAGCGUUUGAUUGCCCCGAGCAGAGAGCGUUUCCCGGUAUAGAGCUCGGUGCGACCCUGCACACGACCUUUCGGUGUCAACGUGGACGAUGAAGGGCUUCGUGGCCUUUUAGGACGCGACUGUUUUAUUUACUGGGGAGUCAGAUUACCGAAGCUAGGACGGCUGCGGGUAUCUUGCUUAGUGAAGAAACCCGGGCCUGUGCACUAUUAUCUGGGCAGUUGCUUCACUUCUUAUGUCGAGAAAAGGCCAGGGAAUGAUGCAAUUACCAAAGGAAUCAAGAAACCUUUCAGCCCAGCCUCAGUUCAGAAUUCCUCAUGAAAUAGGAGCAGAAGGCAAUAGCAUGUAACUCAGCUUUGAAAAUGCCGACCGUUCAGUUGGACUGAUGUAACCCUAGAGACCCCGCUCCGCUGCAAGAUGGAAGGAGGCUUAAGUAAAACAGAUAUAAAUUUGUAAUGAACUUGCUCGCAACAUCCGGCGCCACUGUGAAUUACAGCCUUCGUCCAUCACCGUAGACUUUAGGAUAUUUUUCUUGUUUUCAGCAAUUCAGAAAUGGAGUUUAGAUUCUUGAUAAAAUUUGUCAAAAAUUAUCUAAUAAUACGCAAACAGGAAGAUUAAAGUGACUUAAUAAGUGAAGAUGGAAACAUCACCAGAAGAAAUUUCUAAACGUAAUUGCUAUAUUUUAGAUGGGACCCACACUCCUUUCCUGUAUCAAGAAAUUUUUCGGAAAUCGGGCGCUGUACGUGGAGCUCUUACUUCUGAAUUGGGGAUUUUCAGAGUUUACAUGAAAAGUAUCUGGUUUUGGAUAAAAAGAUAAAGCAGUUAUUACUUUUAGAAUAAUUUUAAGUUGUAAUAGGUUUGGUCCCAAUCUUGUACAAAGUGUUGGAAAAAGUACAGCAAGAAACAUCAUCCCUCUUUCAUCUUGUAAUCACUCUUCAUGUUUUCUGUCCAGAGCUGACCAUUGUUAACAGUUUCUUCUGUAUACUGGAAAUCGUCUGUGCUAUUUUAAAUUGUUUUUAUUUUCUAUUUCCUAGAAAUAUCUAUUUCUUUUUCCUCAAACUUUUUAUCUUGAAAUAUUCCAAACCUACAGAAAACUGCAAGUAUAGAGCAAUGAACACACAUAUACCCUUCAUCCAUCUUGGGCUAAUUUAGUAGUACCAGCAUCCACUGUGUUACUUGUGCGCUGAAAUGUGGCUAGUAAGAGUUGAGGUGUUCUAUAGUUGUUGAAUGAAUACUGGAUUUUUAAGCCUUUGUAUGGAAAAAAAUGUAAAGACUCAUUAAUAGUUGAGUACAUCUUAAAUGCAAAUUGAAUAUAUGAAUUAAAAUAUUAUUAAAACAAA